UGGGGAAUAUUGCACAAUGGGCGCAAGCCUGAUGCAGCCAUGCCGCGUGUAUGAAGAAGGCCUUCGGGUUGUAAAGUACUUUCAGUCGGGAGGAAGGUGUCAAGGUUAAUAACCUUGGCAAUUGACGUUACCGACAGAAGAAGCACCGGCUAACUCCGUGCCAGCAGCCGCGGUAAUACGGAGGGUGCAAGCGUUAAUCGGAAUUACUGGGCGUAAAGCGCACGCAGGCGGUUGAUUGAGUCAGAUGUGAAAUCCCCGGGCUUAACCCGGUAAUUGCAUCUGAUACUGUUCAACUAGAGUCUUGUAGAGGGUGGUAGAAUUCCAUGUGUAGCGGUGAAAUGCGUAGAGAUGUGGAGGAAUACCGGUGGCGAAGGCGGCCCCCUGGACAAAUACUGACGCUCAGGUGCGAAAGCGUGGGGAGCAAACAGG
rnacentral:rRNA from 1 species